ACGAACGCUGGCGGCUGCUUAACACAUGCAAGUCGAACGGAGUGGCGAACGGGUGAGUAACGCGUGAGCAACCUGCCUAUGACAGUGGGAUAGCCUCGGGAAACCGGGAUUAAUACCGCAUAGUCAUAGAUGGGCUCGCGUCUGAUUAGCGAGUUGGUGCGAUAACCGCUCACCAAGGCGAGGUUCAGUAGCCGGUCUGAGAGGAUGAACGGCCACAUUUGAACUGAGACACGGUCCAAACUCCUACGGGAGGCAGCAGUGGGUAAUAUUGCACAAGGGGGUAAACCCGGAUGCAGCGACGCCGCGUGAACUAAGAAGGUAGUCGUAUCGUAAAGUUCUGUCCUAUGGGAAGCAGUACCAUAGAAGAAAGCUCCGGCUAAAUACGUGCCAGCAGCCGCGGUAAUUC
rnacentral:rRNA from 1 species